UCGAGUUUUUGAACGCAAGUUGCGCCCGAGGCCAGCCGGCCAAGGGCACGUCCGCCUGGGCGUCAAGCGUUGCGUCGCUCCGUGCCAACUCCAUCGCACCUAUGUGUGUAUCGGCCAAGGCUCGGACGUGCAGAGUGGCUCAUCGUGCUAAUUGGUGCGG
rnacentral:rRNA from 1 species